CCUACGGGGGGCAGCAGUGGGGAAUAUUGGACAAUGGGGGCAACCCUGAUCCAGCCAUGCCGCGUGUGUGAAGAAGGCCCUCGGGUUGUAAAGCACUUUCAGUGAGGAAGAACGCCUGGUGGUUAAUACCCAUCAGGAAAGACAUCACUCACAGAAGAAGCACCGGCUAACUCCGUGCCAGCAGCCGCGGUAAUACGGAGGGUGCGAGCGUUAAUCGGAAUUACUGGGCGUAAAGCGCGCGUAGGUGGCUUGAUAAGCCGGUUGUGAAAGCCCCGGGCUCAACCUGGGAACGGCAUCCGGAACUGUCGAGCUAGAGUGCAGGAGAGGAAGGUAGAAUUCCCGGUGUAGCGGUGAAAUGCGUAGAGAUCGGGAGGAAUACCAGUGGCGAAGGCGGCCUUCUGGACUGACACUGACACUGAGGUGCGAAAGCGUGGGUAGCAAACAGGAUUAGAUACCCCAGUAGUC
rnacentral:rRNA from 1 species